AGUGAACGCUGGCGGUAGGCCUAACACAUGCAAGUCGAACGGCAGCACAGUAAGAGCUUGCUCUUACGGGUGGCGAGUGGCGGACGGGUGAGGAAUACAUCGGAAUCUACUUUUUCGUGGGGGAUAACGUAGGGAAACUUACGCUAAUACCGCAUACGACCUACGGGUGAAAGCAGGGGAUCUUCGGACCUUGCGCGAUUGAAUGAGCCGAUGUCGGAUUAGCUAGUUGGCGGGGUAAAGGCCCACCAAGGCGACGAUCCGUAGCUGGUCUGAGAGGAUGAUCAGCCACACGGGAACUGAGACACGGUCCAGACUCCUACGGGAGGCAGCAGUGGGGAAUAUUGGACAAUGGGCGCAAGCCUGAUCCAGCCAUCCCGCGUGGGUGAAGAAGGCCUUCGGGUUGUAAAGCCCUUUUGUUGGGAAAGAAAAGCAGCAGGUUAAUACCCCGCUGUUCUGACGGUACCCAAAGAAUAAGCACCGGCUAACUUCGU
rnacentral:rRNA from 1 species